rnacentral:rRNA from 1 species
GCCAGACUCCUACGGGAGGCAGCAGUGGGGAAUAUUGGGCAAUGGACGCAAGUCUGACCCAGCAACGCCGCGUGAAGGAAGAAGGCUUUCGGGUUGUAAACUUCUUUUAAGGGGGAAGAGCAGAAGACGGUACCCCUUGAAUAAGCCACGGCUAACUACGUGCCAGCAGCCGCGGUAAUACGUAGGUGGCAAGCGUUGUCCGGAAUUACUGGGUGUAAAGGGAGCGUAGGCGGGAAAGCAAGUUGAAUGUUUAAGGUACGGGCUCAACCUGUACAAGCGUUCAAAACUGUUUUUCUUGAGUGGAGUAGAGGUAAGCGGAAUUCCUAGUGUAGCGGUGAAAUGCGUAAAUAUUAGGAGGAACACCAGUGGCGAAGGCGGCUUACUGGGCUUUAACUGACGCUGAGGCUCGAAAGCGUGGGUAGCAAACAGGAUUAGAUACCCCCGUAUC